AAGUCGUAACAAGGUUUCCGUAGGUGAACCUGCGGAAGGAUCAUUAACAUUUUCCAAAAACCUUUUUUUCAACCCCCAAAACCAUAUGUUGUUUAUUUCUUACUUUUCAAAAAAAAAACCAUUUAAUUAUGAUAAAUUCAUAAUUAUUGGCAACUUGUUUUUUUUUAAUAACCCCAAACCCCAACCAAACCAAUAUUUUGAACAGUAUAAAAAAUAACGGAAGUUUGGAGAAAUCCUUACAACCGUGUUUUAUUUUUUUUUCAAAUAAAACAAAACAAAGUACAACUCUAAGCGAUGGAUGUCUCGGCUCUU
rnacentral:misc_RNA from 1 species